CGUAAACUAGUCGUAUGGCACAUAAAAUAAACGUCAAGAUGAUACUCAUAUAAACCUUGUAUUUAAAUAGCCUGGGUAUUUUUCCCUUGCAAUUGAUAAUCAGCUUUCAAUGCUUUCCUUAAUAACAAAAGCCCAAUGUUUGCAUUUCAUUAGUAUGGGAAGAAAAAAAUCAGCAAGACUGAGUUUCGGAGAUGAGUCUAAACUUGGCUGUAUGGCUGGACCACCUGGAAAUGAACAGACACACAACAGGCCAACAGGACCUUGGGCAUCAGACCCUGGCCCCGGGAUCUGCACGGCUGAUGAGUACCUCGUGAAAUUCACAAGCGCACUGUCCAGCGUCAUCAGUACAACGGAGGACUGAGGACGGGAAACAUCUUCCAUAGGAGGUCCCAGGUUCCUGAGUGUGGCCACGGGCUGCUUCUGGAUUUUUUUUUACCUCUUCAUCUCUCAACCUGGUUACUUUCCUGGACUUCCUGUCCCAAUUCCUGCUUCCAUAAAAUCCUAGCCUUUAUUAUUAUUUUUUAAAUUAAAACUUCAAUCAGCUCAGGAAAAGCAAUUCCUCCUUCUCCUCUGCACAGUUCAUUCCUUGGAGGAGAAAGAGGCCUGAGUGUGAUGAGCCCGUCACAGCAGCAAGUUUGGGCUCAGCCGGUGCCCUGCUCCGACUAACAUUUACCAGCAUCGUGCGGAAUGUUAAGUGUCUGUGUCUAAGAAUGCAGCCCAGAGAUCGGGGGCUGUGGUGACACGACCCAGCCCUCAGCGAGCCUGUGGUGUGUGGCAUCGGAGGUGCUGUCGGAGCAUCUGGAGGAGGCCCGCAGUAAGUAGAAGUCAGGUGAGCAAGCAGGGACAGACUAGCUGUCAGCUAACUGGAAGGGGGUAGCACGUGCGGGAGGAGCAGGAGUCUUUUUUCCCUCUUCAAAGCCUCAGCCCACCAGGCAUGCAGGGACUAAGGCCCUGCCAUCCUUCUCUUCCCGGAGUCACAGACGCCUUGCUCAGACGCCUUUGGACGCUCCCUUAGAGACCGUCAACCUGCUGCAUGCAAACACGUGACGUGGCGAGGAUCCCAGGAUGAAAGCAGCGGCCAUAGCAGUCUGGGGGGGAAGAGGUCCGGAGCAAGGUCACGGGGCUGCUGACCGGUGGCCAGGGCCCUCCACACCCAUCGUCCCAGAAUGAAAUCAGCUUUCCAAAUGGCCCAUUUGGGGAGGAGUUUCCAGCGGGUAGAACUCUGUCCCCCACAGAGCCCUCCAGGGACUGCGGUGCUAGGACUGCCAGGGAAGGGUCGCUCGGAAUUGAAAUAUAAAGUCCUCGGUGGAACUGGCGGAAGCCCUGUUGAGGAGGCUCUCAGGAGGCAUCAGAUGCACAUGCAGCCAGGAUGGCUGGGGGAAGUUCACGGCAACAGAGCGCGAGAGCAGAGAGAAAGAAAGUCGCCUCUUGCCUUCGGAUUUCAGGAAGACAAAGGCAUGGCGGCUUGUGUGGGCCUUUUCAGCCUCCUCACCCUUUCCCAUGAUCUCUCUUUCAUGGCCUAUAGCUGUUGGGUCUUGAAAACUGGAUUUUGGACAGAUAAACACGACAGUGUUCUUAUGAUCCUCUGAGCUGUGGCUGCUGUGUUGUGGCUACUUGUGGCCACACUGGGCUGUGGGGAAAGGGAUUUGAGUAAUCAGCUGGCUAUGAGGAAGGAGCCCAGGGUCCUGUGACAAGAUUCAAUCUUCAUGCCUCUUAGCGUGGCCCCUCCUGGGCCAUUUUCACAUGGGGGCACUCUGGAGGGUGUUUGUGAGACCCCAGCGUGGGUGACAGCCCCCAGCCUGGCCUGGGGCAGGUGGCCCUGAGGCCAACAGCUUUCCCUCCAUCACUGCGGACAUAGUCUCCAUGUGGGCCGCACCUAGCAUCUGCCAGCUAGU